GAUGAACGCUAGCGAUAGGCUUAACACAUGCAAGUCGAGGGGCAGCAUGGUCUUAGCUUGCUAAGACUGAUGGCGACCGGCGCACGGGUGCGUAACGCGUAUGCAACUUGCCUCACAGAGGGGGAUAACCCGUCGAAAGACGGACUAAUACCGCGUACACUUGGGAUAGGGCAUCCUGACCCAAGGAAAUGAAAUUCGCUGUGAGAUAGGCAUGCGUCCCAUUAGCUAGUUGGUGAGGUAACGGCUCACCAAGGCGACGAUGGGUAGGGGAACUGAGAGGGUGAACCCCCACACUGGUACUGAGACACGGACCAGACUCCUACGGGAGGCAGCAGUGAGGAAGAUUGGUCACGGGGCGAGAGCCUGAACCAGCCAAGUCGCGUGAAGGAUGACUGUCUUAUGGAUUGUAAACUUCUUUUAUACGGGAAUAACAAGAGCCACGUGUGGCUCCCUGCAUGUACCGUAUGAAUAAGCAUCGGCUAACUCCGUG
rnacentral:rRNA from 1 species